GAUGAACGCUGGCGGCGUGCCUAAUACAUGCAAGUCGAGCGAACGGACGAGAAGCUUGCUUCUCUGAUGUUAGCGGCGGACGGGUGAGUAACACGUGGAUAACCUACCUAUAAGACUGGGAUAACUUCGGGAAACCGGAGCUAAUACCGGAUGAUAUUUUGAACCGCAUGGUUCAAAAGUGAAAGACGGUCUUGCUGUCACUUAUAGAUGGAUCCGCGCUGCAUUAGCUAGUUGGUAAGGUAACGGCUUACCAAGGCAACGAUGCAUAGCCGACCUGAGAGGGUGAUCGGCCACACUGGAACUGAGAAACGGUCCAGACUCCUACGGGAGGCAGCAGUAGGGAAUCUUCCGCAAUGGGCGAAAGCCUGACGGAGCAACGCCGCGUGAGUGAUGAAGGUCUUCGGAUCGUAAAACUCUGUUAUUAGGGAAGAACAUAUGUGUAAGUAACUGUGAACAUCUUGACGGUACCUAAUCAGAAAGCCACGGCUAACUACGUG
rnacentral:rRNA from 1 species